rnacentral:rRNA from 1 species
UACGGAGGGUGCAAGCGUUGCUCGGAAUUAUUGGGCGUAAAGGGUAGGUAGGUGGUCUCAUUUGUCCAGGGUGAAAGCCUUGAGCUUAACUCAAGAAGUGCCCUGGAAACGGUGAGACUGGAGUACUGGAGAGGGUCGUGGAAUUCCCGGUGUAGCGGUGAAAUGCGUAGAGAUCGGGAGGAACACCAGCGGCGAAGGCGGCGACCUGGACAGUAACUGACACUGAACUACGAAAGCGUGGGGAGCAAACAGG